UAUCGAGAUUCGACUAAGCCAUGCGAGUCGAAUGUUCUUCGUGAACAUGGCGGACUGCUCAGUAACACGUGGACAACCUACCCUUGGGUCUGGCAUAAUCCUGGGAAACUGGGUAUAAUUCCAGAUAGGUCACAGAUGCUGGAAUGCACUGUGGCCGAAAGCUCCGGCGCCCAAGGAUGGGUCUGCGGCCUACCAGGGUUGUAGUGGGUGUAACGGACCUACUAGCCUACGACGGGUACGGGUUGUGAGAGCAAGAGCCCGGAGAUGGAUUCUGAGACACGAAUCCAGGCCCUACGGGGUGCAGCAGGCGCGAAAACUUUACAAUGCGGGAAACCGUGAUAAGGGAAUCUCGAGUGCCAGCAUAUAAUGUUGGCUGUCCAGAUGCCUAAAAAGCAUCUGUUAGCAAGGGCCGGGCAAGACCGGUGCCAGCCGCCGCGGUAACACCGGCGGCCCGAGUGGUAACCGCUUUUAUUGGGUCUAAAGGGUCUGUAGCCGGCCAAGUAAGUCCCUUGGGAAAUCUGGCAGC
rnacentral:rRNA from 1 species